UACGUAGGGUGCGAGCGUUAAUCGGAAUUACUGGGCGUAAAGCGUGCGCAGGCGGUUUUGUAAGCCAGAUGUGAAAUCCCCGGGCUUAACCUGGGAAUGGCAUUUGGGACUGCAAGGCUUGAGUGCGGCAGAGGAGACUGGAAUUCCCGGUGUAGCAGUGAAAUGCGUAGAUAUCAGGAGGAACACCGGUGGCGAAGGCGGCUCUCUGGACGGUGACUGACGCUGAGACGCGAAAGCGUGGGGAGCAAACAGG
rnacentral:rRNA from 1 species